GUUUCAAUCCUCAUAGGUAAGCUAAAAAC
rfam:Thermosediminibacter oceani DSM 16646, complete genome.